CCUACGGGGGGCUGCAGUAAGGAAUAUUGGUCAAUGGACGCAAGUCUGAACCAGCCAUGCCGCGUGGAGGAUGAAGGUCCUCUGGAUUGUAAACUUCUUUUAUUUGGGAAGAACCUCCCGAUUUCCAUCGGGCUUGACGGUACCAGAUGAAUAAGCACCGGCUAACUCCGUGCCAGCAGCCGCGGUACUACGGAGGGUGCAGGCGUUAUCCGGUUUAAAGGGGGCGUAGGUGGGCAGAUAAGGGAGUGGUGAAAUCUCCGGGCUUAACCCGGGAAAUGCCAUUGAUACGAUUUGUCGUGAAUACUCUGGAGGUGAGCGGAAUAUGUCAUGUAGCGGUGAAAUGCUUAGAUAUGACAUAGAACACCCAUGGCGAAGGCAGCUCACUACGGAAAUAUUGACGCUGAGGCACGAAAGCGUGGGGAUCAAACAGGAUUAGAUACCCCAGUAGUC
rnacentral:rRNA from 1 species